CCAGGCCAAGCCAAGCAGAGAGCCUGCAUUAGCAGUUAGUGGCCUGAGCAGGUGGGAGACGUUGCUCAACUGUCUCUGUUUGGGAAUUGAGAAUCACGGAUCCUCACCGGUGCUCUACACCCUGUGGCUUUGGAAAAGCACAUGAGAGUUGCCUGGGUCAGCUGAACCGGUCUGCUUGGUCCCGAACUCACAGAGCAGGGCUUCCAGCGCGAGGGGAAAGCUCUCAGCCCAGCCUUCCCACCCUGGUCCCACCGUUUCCCGCCCAGAGGUGACAGCAGAUGCCCCAACCGUUCAUCUCUCAGAUAAGGUCUCAAUAUGGAAAGCAUCGAGAAUAUCAUGCACAUAAAUGUAAAGGUCGUUUUCUCCAUUUGUUUUGGCUUAAU